UUAAGCGACUAAGCGUACACGGUGGAUGCCCUGGCAGUCAGAGGCGAUGAAGGACGUGCUAAUCUGCGAUAAGCGCCGGUAAGGUGAUAUGAACCGUUAUAACCGGCGAUUUCCGAAUGGGGAAACCCAGUGUGACUCGUCACACUAUCAUUAACUGAAUCCAUAGGUUAAUGAGGCGAACCGGGGGAACUGAAACAUCUAAGUACCCCGAGGAAAAGAAAUCAACCGAGAUUCCCCCAGUAGCGGCGAGCGAACGGGGAGGAGCCCAGAGCCUGAAUCAGCAUGUGUGUUAGUGGAAGCGUCUGGAAAGGCGCGCGAUACAGGGUGACAGCCCCGUACACAAAAGCGCAUGUGCUGUGAGCUCGAUGAGUAGGGCGGGACACGUGGUAUCCUGUCUGAAUAUGGGGGGACCAUCCUCCAAGGCUAAAUACUCCUGACUGACCGAUAGUGAACCAGUACCGUGAGGGAAAGGCGAAAAGAACCCCGGCGAGGGGAGUGAAAAAGAACCUGAAACCGUGUACGUACAAGCAGUGGGAGCNNGGGCGUUAAGUUGCAGGGUAUAGACCCGAAACCCGGUGAUCUAGCCAUGGGCAGGUUGAAGGUUGGGUAACACUAACUGGAGGACCGAACCGACUAAUGUUGAAAAAUUAGCGGAUGACCUGUGGCUGGGGGUGAAAGGCCAAUCAAACCGGGAGAUAGCUGGUUCUCCCCGAAAGCUAUUUAGGUAGCGCCUCGUGAAUUCAUCUCCGGGGGUAGAGCACUGUUUCGGCUAGGGGGCCAUCCCGGCUUACCAACCCGAUGCAAACUGCGAAUACCGGAGAAUGUUAUCACGGGAGACACACGGCGGGUGCUAACGUCCGUCGUGAAGAGGGAAACAACCCAGACCGCCAGCUAAGGUCCCAAAGUCAUGGUUAAGUGGGAAACGAUGUGGGAAGGCCCAGACAGCCAGGAUGUUGGCUUAGAAGCAGCCAUCAUUUAAAGAAAGCGUAAUAGCUCACUGGUCGAGUCGGCCUGCGCGGAAGAUGUAACGGGGCUAAACCAUGCACCGAAGCUGCGGCAGCGANNUGCUGGAGGUAUCAGAAGUGCGAAUGCUGACAUAAGUAACGAUAAAGCGGGUGAAAAGCCCGCUCGCCGGAAGACCAAGGGUUCCUGUCCAACGUUAAUCGGGGCAGGGUGAGUCGACCCCUAAGGCGAGGCCGAAAGGCGUAGUCGAUGGGAAACGGGUUAAUAUUCCCGUACUUGGUGUUACUGCGAAGGGGGGACGGAGAAGGCUAUGUUGGCCGGGCGACGGUUGUCCCGGUUUAAGCGUGUAGGUGUGUGUUCCAGGUAAAUCCGGUUCACUUUAACACUGAGGCGUGACGACGAGGCACUACGGUGCUGAAGCAACAAAUGCCCUGCUUCCAGGAAAAGCCUCUAAGCAUCAGGUAACAUCAAAUCGUACCCCAAACCGACACAGGUGGUCAGGUAGAGAAUACCAAGGCGCUUGAGAGAACUCGGGUGAAGGAACUAGGCAAAAUGGUGCCGUAACUUCGGGAGAAGGCACGCUGACAUGUAGGUGAAGUGAUUUACUCAUGGAGCUGAAGUCAGUCGAAGAUACCAGCUGGCUGCAACUGUUUAUUAAAAACACAGCACUGUGCAAACACGAAAGUGGACGUAUACGGUGUGACGCCUGCCCGGUGCCGGAAGGUUAAUUGAUGGGGUCAGCGCAAGCGAAGCUCCUGAUCGAAGCCCCGGUAAACGGCGGCCGUAACUAUAACGGUCCUAAGGUAGCGAAAUUCCUUGUCGGGUAAGUUCCGACCUGCACGAAUGGCGUAAUGAUGGCCAGGCUGUCUCCACCCGAGACUCAGUGAAAUUGAACUCGCUGUGAAGAUGCAGUGUACCCGCGGCAAGACGGAAAGACCCCGUGAACCUUUACUAUAGCUUGACACUGAACAUUGAGCCUUGAUGUGUAGGAUAGGUGGGAGGCUUUGAAGUGUGGACGCCAGUCUGCAUGGAGCCGACCUUGAAAUACCACCCUUUAAUGUUUGAUGUUCUAACGUGGACCCGUUAUCCGGGUUGCGGACAGUGUCUGGUGGGUAGUUUGACUGGGGCGGUCUCCUCCUAAAGAGUAACGGAGGAGCACGAAGGUUGGCUAAUCCUGGUCGGACAUCAGGAGGUUAGUGCAAUGGCAUAAGCCAGCUUGACUGCGAGCGUGACGGCGCGAGCAGGUGCGAAAGCAGGUCAUAGUGAUCCGGUGGUUCUGAAUGGAAGGGCCAUCGCUCAACGGAUAAAAGGUACUCCGGGGAUAACAGGCUGAUACCGCCCAAGAGUUCAUAUCGACGGCGGUGUUUGGCACCUCGAUGUCGGCUCAUCACAUCCUGGGGCUGAAGUAGGUCCCAAGGGUAUGGCUGUUCGCCAUUUAAAGUGGUACGCGAGCUGGGUUUAGAACGUCGUGAGACAGUUCGGUCC
rnacentral:rRNA from 1 species